rnacentral:rRNA from 1 species
UACAGAGACUGCAAGCGUUAUUCGGAUUCACUGGGCGUAAAGGGUGCGCAGGCGGCCAAGUGUGUGAGGUGUGAAAGCCCGGGGCUUAACCCCGGAAUUGCACCUCAAACUACUUGGCUAGAGCAUUGGAGAGGGUAGCAGAAUUCACGGUGUAGCAGUGAAAUGCGUAGAUACCGUGAGGAAUACCAGAGGCGAAGGCGGCUACCUGGACAAUUGCUGACGCUCAGGCACGAAAGCGUGGGGAGCAAAAGGG